rnacentral:rRNA from 1 species
CGCGUAGGCGGUGGUGUAAGUCUGAUGUGGAAUCCCACGGCUCAACCGUGGAAUUGCAUUGGAAACUGCGUCACUUGAGUCAGCGAGGGGAGGGCGGAAUUCCUGGUGUAGCAGUGAAAUGCGUAGAUAUCAGGAGGAAGGCCGGUGGCGAAGGCGGCCCUCUGGCGCUAGACUGACGCUGAGGCGCGAAAGCGUGGGGAGCAAACA